rnacentral:rRNA from 1 species
CACGUAGGGUGCGAGCGUUGUCCGGAUUCAUUGGGCGUAAAGCGCGUGUAGGCGGCCAGGUAGGUCCGACGUGAAAACUGGAGGCUCAACCUUCAGACGUCGACGGAAACCGUUUGGCUAGAGUCCGGAAGAGGAGAGUGGAAUUCCUGGUGUAGCGGUGAAAUGCGCAGAUAUCAGGAAGAACACCGAUGGCGAAGGCAGCUCUCUGGGACGGUACUGACGCUGAGACGCGAAAGCGUGGGGAGCGAACAGG